rnacentral:rRNA from 1 species
UAGGGAAUCUUCGGCAAUGGACGAAAGUCUGACCGAGCAACGCCGCGUGAGUGAAGAAGGUUUUCGGAUCGUAAAACUCUGUUGUUAGAGAAGAACAAGGACGUUAGUAACUGAACGUCCCCUGACGGUAUCUAACCAGAAAGCCACGGCUAACUACGUGCCAGCAGCCGCGGUAAUACGUAGGUGGCAAGCGUUGUCCGGAUUUAUUGGGCGUAAAGCGAGCGCAGGCGGUUUCUUAAGUCUGAUGUGAAAGCCCCCGGCUCAACCGAGGAGGGUCAUUGGAAACUGGGAGACUGGAGUGCGGAAGAGGAGAGUGGAAUUCCAUGUGUAGCGGUGAAAUGCGUAGAUAUAUGGAGGAACACCAGUGGCGAAGGCGGCUCUCUGGUCAGUAACUGACGCUGAGGCUCGAAAGCGUGGGGAGCAAACAGG